rnacentral:rRNA from 1 species
GACGUAGGGCGCGAGCGUUGUCCGGAUUUAUUGGGCGUAAAGAGCUCGUAGGCGGCUUGUCGCGUCGUCCGUGAAAACCUGUGGCUCAACUGCAGGCUUGCGGUCGAUACGGGCAGGCUGGAGUUCGGUAGGGGAGACUGGAAUUCCUGGUGUAGCGGUGAAAUACGUAGAUAUCAGGAGGAACACCGGUGGCGAAGGCGGCGAUCUGGCCCAACAUUGACACUGAGGCGCGAAAGCUAGGGGAGCAAACGGG